rnacentral:lncRNA from 1 species
UCCUCCCAUCUCAGCCUUUCCAGUAGCUGGGACUACAGAUGGGAACUCCAGCAUGGAGUGCCAGAAAAUGGACUACAAGACAUCGUCUAUACUCAGCAGCCAAGAUAGUGUUUCAUGAAGCCCACUUACCUGAACGGGGUGCAUCUAAUUGAAGCAUUUAGCCUUCGGGCAGCCCCAUGAAUAUGAAGAUACUUGGAAAGUCUUUACUACAGAGCAUGAUUUCAGGAAUGAUGAAACAAUAAACGAGAAUCUGGUAUUAAUAAUCUGUGGGUUUUAAAUUUUAUGCCAUUCAAAGAUGUGAGGACCAGUCAUUUCAUGUAUCCUACAAAGUGGAACAUGCCGUGGGACACACAGAUUCAUGAUUCAUGAGGAGGUUGGAUGUCCGACAGUAAACAUUCACACACACAAUUUGAGUCUUUGGUGCUUACUGGCUGUACUUUGAUAAUACCUCAUCAAUUCAAACCUCUCAAAGCCAGAUCUUGGAAUGAAACAGGUUGAAAAGACUGAGAGCUGAAGCUUGCCUUUGCAUAGUUGACAGCCUUUGCUCAGCAAACUAAGAGUCGCUCAUAGUUGAUGACCAAAUAAAAUGCAGAGGAUUUGAGAAGCACAAAAUAGGGAGGGAGAAACCAUCAAGAGGCUAAAUACGAUUUAUUUAAGUUCCCCAUCAGAACAGACUUCCUACAGGCCUCAACACAGCAAUGUGUUAUUAACCCACAGUAUGCUCUAGAAAGGACAUAUGAGCUGCCUUUCUUGUCAAAUAUCAUCUUCUUCCAGAGCACCCCACCCAUUCAUCUUUUGUAAAGAUCAGACUUGGAAUA